ensembl:lncRNA
GGGGACCUGAGGAUAUGACUUUGUAUGGAUGCAGCCCACAAAGGGUAUUUAAAGGGCCAAGAUCUGCCAUGCCCCUUUCAACCUCCUGUCAGCAUCAUGGCUCCUGGGUCUUCCCCAUCUUGAUGCUCCUACUCUGUGCGAUCCAGGGAAGCCAGCAAGGCGGGGUUCCCCCAGGAGCAGGGGCUGGAGCUGCGGCUGGGAGCCCACCAGGAAAGGCAGGCUAUGGCCCACUGCCAAAUGGCUAUGGAGCAGGACCUGGGGCUCAGAAUGGCUAUGGAGCAGGAUACAGGAAUGGACUGGGAGCAGGAGCCUUCCCUAGAGCUGGAGCCCAGACAGAGUUGCAUUCCCCAUCCCCCAUACCUUUGAUUCUGCCCACAAUCAACCUCCAGCCUGAGACCUCUCUGCUCCCCGAAAGGCCCGUAACACAACCCCUUCCCUCUGUCUCGCCAGCAUAUAGAAACGGAUUGGGUAAUGGGGCUUUCCCAGGAGCUGGAGCCCAGCCAGGCCUUGGAGCUGGAACCAAGCCUCAGAAACCAGGAUAUGGAAAUGGGCUGGGAAAUGGCGGCUUCCCUGGGGUUGGAGCCCAGCCAGGGCUAGGAGGGGAAAUGAAACCUCAGAAAGCUGGAUAUGGGAACGGGCUGGGAGCUGGGGGCUUUCCAGGGGCUGAAGCCCAGCCAGGAUUUGGAGUAGGAACCAAGCCUCAGAAAGCAGGAAAUGGGAAUGGUCUACAAGCUGGGGCCUUCCCAGGAGCCAGAGCUCAGCCAGGUCCCUGUAAUAGGGGCUCCAUUCCAGCUCCCAAUGGAGUAGGGCCCGCAACAGGGAGUCCCUCAGAAAAAGGAGGAUUCAGGGCUCAGAAUGGCUAUGGACCAGUUUCUCCCUCAGGCCUUGAAGAUGGAUUGAAGACUCAUAAAACAGGACUCAGAAAUGUGUUUGGAGCUGGACCCUUCUCAGGGGCCAAGAUUCAGCCAGGCUAUGGUGCCAUGAAUGGGUAUAGAGCAGGUCUUAGAGGAGGAGCCAAACCACAGAAAACAGGCUAUGGAAAUGGAUUAGGAGCAGGUGCUUUCCCAGAGUCUGGGCCACAGCCAGGGUUUGGGACCCCAAAUGGUUUUGGAGUAGGCCUAGGUGGUGUGAAGCCUCAAAAAGCAGUUUAUAGCAAUGGACUGGGAGCUGGAACCUUUUCUGAGGUCAGGGCCCAGCAAGCAGGUUUCCCUGGGGCCAGAAGUUAUCCAGCCAAUGGCUACAGCAAUGGUGGGGCCAGCUUCUUUGGUGCUCAGGGAGUCCCCUUUCUCCCUGGAGGUUCAGACUCUGGGGCCAAAACUGCUAAGUAUGACUAUGGAAAUGGGGUAGGCGAAGGCUCCUACCCUGCGGAUAGAAGCGCGCCAGGUCUCUAUGGUCAGUUAAGACCAGAGGCAGUCCCCGGGACUUACGGUGGGCCAGAUGUGAAGCACAGCUUCAAUGGCUUCCUGGGAAAUGGCUAUGUAGGUCGCUGUCCUCCAGGGAAAUGUUGAGCCUAAAGGGUUCCCUCCAAUAUCCCCCAUGUGAAGAUCUUCAGGGGAGCUCGGAGCCUAAGACCUGGCCACCUUACUGCUGUCAGGUUUUUUGGAAAAAAAACCAGGCUCCUUGGGAGGGGAGUCUCCCCUCUGCCCCAUCAGGGUCUUUCUUUGGUCCUUUAACCCAGUCUUAUAAGGGGCCCCUCACAGCAGAGAGGAGGAGGAGGAGAUCAAGGGCCUGUUAAUAAAAGAUUUAAAUUCACAAGUUUGGUGGUCCA